AUUGAACGCUGGCGGCAUGCCUAACACAUGCAAGUCGAACGGCAGCACAGUAUGUAGCAAUACAUAUGGGUGGCGAGUGGCGGACGGGUGCGUAAUAUGUAGGGAUCUGCCCUGAAGCGGGGGACAACCCGGGGAAACCCGGGCUAAUACAGCAUAAUACUCUACGGAGGAAAUCUGGCACGCAAGUGCUUGGGCUCUAGGCUGAACCUACAUCCGAUUAGCUAGUUGGUGAGGUAAUAGCUCACCAAGGCAAUGAUCGGUAGCUGGUCUGAGAGGAUGACCAGCCACACUGGGACUGAGACACGGCCCAGACUCCUACGGGAGGCAGCAGUGGGGAAUAUUGGACAAUGGGGGAAACCCUGAUCCAGCAAUGCCGCGUGGGUGAAGAAGGCCUUCGGGUUGUAAAGCCCUUUAGGCGGGGAAGAAGGUUAUAGGGUGAUAAGCCUUAUAGCUUGACGGUACCCGCAGAAUAAGCACCGGCUAACUCUGUGCCAGCCGCCGCGGUAA
rnacentral:rRNA from 1 species